GCUGCUGAGAACCCUCAGUAUUCAAACACAAGCUGCUCACACAAAGACACCGUGGCAUCAACUUGUGCUCAGUCCUAUCUGCAGGAACAACUCUAAGGAUGCAAACUGCGCAACCCCUGCCCACCUGGAGGAUCUGCACAGCAAUAAGAGCUCCCUAUCUGUUUGAAUGAUGGUGGCUUCACGGGAACACCAGGGCAGAGCCAACAGACGACAGCUUUGACGUAAGCAAAGGGAAAAGCAAACAGAGACAGCUCUAAGCGCGAAGGCAGCGAUGGGACACAGUGGUGGAGACGCCAGGCUACGCAGAGAAACAAUGCAGCAAGACAGGAUGACAGAUGAAGAAAAGAAAGGUUACAAAAGCAGAACAGACUAGAAAGGCACUUAUAGGAUAAUAAUCCUCGCCUCUGUUUCUAAUUAUAUCUGUAAUACUUAAAGCUGAAAGGAUUUUAGAAGGCCAAUUUACUUUUCGUCCUCUGUGCCAUUGUCUGUUGGCGUUUGCCCCAAAUGCCAGAAGGCAAAUGGUUGGACCAGCACCUGCUACCAUGUGUGUGCAGCUGGGCUGAAGCUUUGCAGGAAGCCCUAUAAAGUAGGGGGCUGCAGCAGGGCCAGGCAUUGCCCAGGUAGAGCAGCAGGAAGCAGGGCUGGGCACAACACAGGUUGGGCAUCCCCAGCAUGUGAAACACUACACUAUAAUACUAUGGAUGCUGUUUUGGAUAGAACAUACUGAAGUCAUGUGAGCCCAACAGCAACAACAGCCCAACGAAACCAUGCCCAGACAAGAGCAGACCAUUUGCUGAUUUCUCCAUGUGGUUCCUUCCAUGUCACAUUGACUGACUGAUGCAUUUCCAAGCUUACAGCUGUAAACAACUUCAUUUAAUUUAGAUCCCUGAAGAGAGAGCUAGCUCUAACUACUGAAAUGUAAAACAAACAGGAACCAGUAGGUAUCCGAUUAUCCACGUAGCUCUACAAUUACAGUCAGUAUCUCUAUCUCCAGGGUGCUCUGCUGGAAAGGAAGCCAUACUCCACCAUCUCCUUGGGAGUAGGAGCACUUGGGUUCAACCCAGAGUACUGUUGCCUUAAAGAGAUGCAGCACUGGGAAUUUUAAUGCCAUCUGCUUCAAGUCAUUGACCCAAAUUUCAGAGCAUCGAAGCCUUUACCAACAGUCAAUCAGAACAAACUUCAUAAACUGGAAGAAGCAUUUAACAAUUUGGAAAUGCACAAACAUAAUGAAAAAUGCAGCAGCGUUGCCAGUGCAAUCUGAGAAUCACCAUCACCACCCGAAGGGAAGGGCAGCAUCUCUCUGCUCACUGCUGCUGCAUGAUUCACCUGGAGCUCUGCUCAUUAGCAUUCCCUGCCAGGAAAUAGCGGGAAGGGGAAGACUUUUGGAAGAGAAAAAUAACAGCAGAGAUGUUGUUAUAACAGUUCGGAAUAUUUCCAGUAAUGCUUCAGAUGCUGCAGUGAGAGAUCUAACACAACAGCUUUUGGAAACAAGGCAGUAAUAUUUACCAUCAUACCUUUCCCAGCUCAGUACACCAAGAGCUGAGCAAAGGGAAAGCAAACAGCCCUUGGAAUGGUUAAAUGUUUGGGAUUUUUGUUUUAUUCCUGAUAACUCCAUCAUAACAGGAAAACAGGCUGAGAAGCAGUCUCCGUCCAACGUACCAGACCUUGUCCCACGGUAAAGAUAAACACACUUUUGCAAAAGGACAAAACUAUUUCAACAUAUUGAGCAGACAUUCUUAAGAUUUCUAAAAUUAUCUUUUCAACUGCAGACUGAAGAGGCCGAAUCCCAUGCCCAGAACAAACAACAGAGCUCGGGACUCACCUCCCUCCAACACAAAGCAGGAUGGAGCCAAUCUUGGAAAGGGCUCUUCCAAGUGCUCAUUUCUUACCCAGGAGCUGAUGAACAAAGGCCUGACCUCUCUGCAAACAGUUGGACCUCCAAGAAGGGGUGGCCAUGAGGCAGAGCCCUUAUGUGAAAGCAGAACAGAGUGGGGAGCUCAGAGCUGCUGCUCAGAGCCACGGUGAAAAGCUUUGGCACUACUGUGCUGCACUUGCAAUUAUUUCAAGCAAUCAGCUUUAGAAAAACACUAAUAAAUAAGGUUCAUUACUCCUUUCGCAUAACAGUACAACUUGUACUUAACCUUCCUGUCACUAAAGAAAUAUUACAUUUAAGAAAGCAUCACAGUAUCAAUUUAACAACUGAGCAAACAAUACCUUCAGGCUGUUUGCCUGUUGACCUUUGAUUUACAGCUACAUUUUUGUCAGGGUGCUUUUUUUUUUUUUUAAAUUAAGAUGCUUAUAUCCUGAAGGGUAACAAAGUUCACUCUAUUAAAUUAACAUCUGCUAUAAAUAAUGCACUAUCAGGGAGUCAUUUGCAAAGCAUCAAAGAAGAGCAUUACGAAUGCUCAUCAACACCUGAAAACUGAACUCAAAGAGACCUGAGCAGGGCACAGGCUGUGCUGUGCUGACCUCAGUGCUAACACAGAGUGCUAACACACUGACCAAGCUGCCAAGGCCUUUUUCAUAUUAAAAUAAAGUCUCCCAGAGUGAUCCUACCCCUUCCCUCAACCCCGAGGAAGCUGGAGACUAACCCUGCCCUCCCUUCCUUUCCCCAAGGUGAGAGAAUCAAGUUCAGCAGUUCCUUAUGCUACACUGAUGUGGGCACUGGGUCCCUCAGUGCUGGAUUAGCAGGUGCAGCAUGUGCUCUGAGAAGAGCUCUAUUUAUUGCUGUGAUCUCUGUAACUUAUUGCUGCUAUAUGUAAGUACCCACCAUCACUUCUGCACCAUCUGAGAAGAGGCAAAGGAAACAAAAGGAGAUAUUACCCUCUAAAACAAGUCCUCUUAAGUACAUAUAUAUAUAUAUAUAUAUACACACACACACAUACAUACACACACUAAGGCCUUCAGUGAAGAAAUAUAAAACACAAUUGCAGCAAAAGCUUGGAUUGCAGCUUCAGACUCUUAAUGGCUUCAUAACUGUAAUUAAGGCUUCUUUCUGACUUCAUAACUCUGCCAUAACGCAUUUACCAAAAGCGCAUUACCACAACGGACACAUUCUCUCCUUCCUGCAUUAUUCCGACAGCUCCCUUUGGAUGUUAUCAGUAAAUAAAUCUAACACGGUCCAAUUAAAGAGAGGACAAAA